rnacentral:rRNA from 1 species
UACGGGGGGGGCAAGCGUUGUUCGGAAUUACUGGGCGUAAAGGGCUCGUAGGUGGCCAACUAAGUCAGACGUGAAAUCCCUCGGCUUAACCGGGGAACUGCGUCUGAUACUGGAUGGCUUGAAUUCGGGAGAGGGAUGCAGAAUUCCAGGUGUAGCGGUGAAAUGCGUAGAUAUCUGGAGGAAUACCGGUGGCGAAGGCGGCAUCCUGGACCGAGAUUGACACUGAUGAGCGAAAGCCAGGGGAGCAAACGGG